UACGUAGGGUGCGAGCGUUGUCCGGAAUUAUUGGGCGUAAAGGGCUCGUAGGCGGUUUGUCGCGUCGGGAGUGAAAUCCACUGGCUUAACUGGUGGGCUUGCUUUCGAUACGGGCAGACUGGAGGUAUGCAGGGGAGAACGGAAUUCCUGGUGUAGCGGUGAAAAUGCGCAGAUAUAGGAAGAAACACCCCGUGGCGAAGGCGGCUCUCUGGGGAACGGUA
rnacentral:rRNA from 1 species